UGCAGGAGAAUUCAAAUAGUUUUUUUACUCCUCAUGUUAUAAUUAAGAUUACAGAAGAUCAAGUUAAAACUAACCAGCAUAUUAUAACAGCAUUCAAUAUCCAACGAGGCAUAUAUGAAGUACUUACGAGGAGAGCAAGUGCAGGGUUAAAAGAUAAAGAAAAUUUUUAAACUGUGACUUUAAGUGAUAGAAAAUAUUCUUGUGAAAAGUGAAGCAUCUAUAGAUAUCUUUAUUCUUACGUUUUAGCUAUGUGCCA
rnacentral:lncRNA from 1 species